UACGAAGGGGGCUAGCGUUGCUCGGAAUCACUGGGCGUAAAGGGUGCGUAGGCGGGUCUUUAAGUCAGGGGUGAAAUCCUGGAGCUCAACUCCAGAACUGCCUUUGAUACUGAGGAUCUUGAGUUCGGGAGAGGUGAGUGGAACUGCGAGUGUAGAGGUGAAAUUCGUAAAUAUUCGCAAGAACACCAGUGGCGAAGGCGGCUCACUGGCCCGAUACUGACGCUGAGGCACGAAAGCGUGGGGAGCAAACAGG
rnacentral:rRNA from 1 species